rnacentral:lncRNA from 1 species
GAAAAGUAUUCAUUGGAUGAAUUUUUCAUCAGGCUGUGGUAAAACAGAAAUAAAGAAUUAAGAACUAAAGGGCUGUGUGAUGGUAUUAAAAGUGUGGCAGGGAGCUGAGGCUGGGUCUGGUGUGACAGUGACCUUAUUCUGACCUUUUCCUUGCAAGACUGAACCAGAGUUUAUGAUGAAAUUUGGUACCAGGCUUUUGACACAGCAGUUUUUUGCGAAGUGCCCCAGACUGAUCUUGAUGUUUAUCACAGAUGUAUUUGCUGUAACCCUGAAUAGCAGGAGCCUUUCAUGGGUACAGAGCCAAGAAACUAUAAUUUCACAAAGUCUGCUAGCAAGAAGUGGAUCCUCAAGAGAUGUGGAUUGCCAAAAUGUGCAAAGUGGGUAUUGGUGGAAAUGUUAUUACUCAGAUUUUCUGUGGGAUAAAGGUUUAGAUUGAAUAGGUGAUUCAUUAUCACUUAAACAAUUUGUGUUGCUGUAUAGCAUAUAGGAAAU